CCCCUAGACGUUCUGGGCUGCACGCGCGCUACAAUAAUACGCACAGCGAGUAUCACCGAGCUCGAAAGGGCAAGGUAAACAAUAGAAAAGGUACUGUAAUGGUUAUAGAUCCUUGUAAUUAUUGAUCUUCAACGAGGAAUUCCUAGUAAGUAUGUGUCAUCAUCGCGCACUGAUUACGUCCCUGCCCUUUGUACACACCGCCCGUCGCUCCUACCGAUUGAGUGAGCCGAUGAAACUGCCGGAUGUGGACUAUUCAUAGUCUGCAGAAGAUAUUUGAAUCGUAGCGCUUAGAGGAAGGAGAAGUCGUAACA
rnacentral:rRNA from 1 species